rnacentral:rRNA from 2 species
UUUUACGCUUGUUGCGGUGUCUACCUCUUCCCAUUCCGAACAGAGCAGUCAAGCCCGCCAGAGCCGAUGGUAUUGCCGUAACAGGUGGGAGAGUAGGUCGGUGCCUUUUU